UGUAUAGGUCAGUGGUAGAGCUCUUGCCUAGCAGGCACGAAGUCCUGGGUUUGAUCCCCAGCAUUACAA
rnacentral:tRNA from 1 species